AGGCCCAUGUAGCCAACCCGUUCUCAGGAAUCGAACCUCGGACCGAACUACCAGUGUUCAGCGACUUUACCGCUCGGCCGCUGAUGGACCUGCAUUCAGUUGAGUUAUGGGAAGACCAGAAGGUCAGAAAGUUGGAGGCAUUCAGGUUACAACGUCUGCAGUUUCUUCACUUGCAUUGUACGAAGACGGGGGAAAAGUGCUGAUUGCGUCCAAGAUAUUCUAAACAUGCGAAUGAUUUUUCAACUUGGAUUGCUGCGUUUUUGGACGUGGUAAUGCCGGAUAUCACGGUCCUUAUAGCAAGCCGUGUUAAGGACGAAAUGAAGAAAUCAAUUAAUUAUGAAACAUCUGUGCAAAUUUCUGCAGAAAACGAGGUAAGAU